UACAGAGGUGGCAAGCGUUGUUCGGAAUUACUGGGCGUAAAGGGCGCGUAGGCGGAUGGCACAGUCAGAUGUGAAAUUCCCGGGCUUAACCUGGGGCGUGCAUUUGAUACGUGUGAUCUAGAGUGAGGAAGAGGGUCGUGGAAUUCCCAGUGUAGAGGUGAAAUUCGUAGAUAUUGGGAAGAACACCGGUGGCGAAGGCGGCGACCUGGUCCUUGACUGACGCUGAGGCGCGAAAGCGUGGGGAGCAAACAGG
rnacentral:rRNA from 1 species